GUCGAUCAUACCAUGUUGAAGAUGAGCGGGUGGCAGCGACAGAGCCAAAAUAACAGCCGGAACCUGAGGAGAGAGGCGAGUACUGACUCCGUCUACCCCUUACUUUCCCAUCCUCGCCAACAUAGCUAUUCCACAAAGUUAGAGGCAACUGUCCUUGAGGGUGUAGCCCCACCCCUUCCACUGUGAGUUUGUAGACUGAGGGGCGAGUGAAGGCGGGUAAUUCCUGAUUCGGGAAUGGUGCUUACAGGCCACCUCUUUGGGCGAUUGCAUUCCCGUUCCCUUGUCUCAGGUUGGUCCCUGCUCUGCAAAGGGACUCCGGUUGCCUUCGGAAAUUUGUCUCAGUACUGACCAUUUGCGGGCCAUCUUAGGCCUAGGCGGUUCGCAGGAAAGGUGGGGCAACAGGACACACCCCCCAAUGUUGGGGACUCCGGCUGUUAGCACCUCUUCUCCACCAGCCUCAUUCCCCCCAACUCUUUCAAGCUGAAGCGCCUCAGGGACCACCAACAUGGCCACUUUAGUAGCUGUCUCUAACGUUCAAGACAACUCAAAGACUGACAGAUCUUUGCGAGUGGGGGUGCCGGUGGGAGGAGCAUAGAUGGGUUUUUCCCUUUUCCCCAGAGGUUUCUGGGUUUCCGUACAAGAGAGCAGCCUGGGUCUCUUUAACUAUGGGAAAUUACUUGGGAUCUCUCCAGGGUCUUCUGCUUCUCUUAGGACUGAUCUCUGCUUCUUUCCUCAGUCCUGUCUCCCAACUAAUCUCUGUAACCGUUGCAUCAGGCCAGCCCACUGUUUGUCUCUGCACCCUCAGGCCUGGGGCUCCUCUGCUGAUGAAAGCCAGGUCCCACACACUGGAAGACCAAGGAGUUUUCCCUAGAGGACAACCCUGCAGAGAAACACUCAGGGCAAUAUUGCGUCUGCAGUCCCCAGAGACAGGCAGCUCAGCUCUGCCUUUGGGCUCAGUGGGCUUAGUUGUUCUCUAUUCGUUCCUAACAAAUGCCUAAUAAGCACCCACUAUGUGCCAAGCAUUUGGGGAUCCAGGGUAUAUUAGAAGCAAAAGACGAAACUGUUCUCAAUAAAACUUACAUUUCAAUGUAAAGCAAAAGGGGGGAAAAACAGAAGCAGGGAAAAAAUAGUUCAGGAUGGUGGCUAGAGGUUUUAUCAUUCAGGAAUUGCCUCAGUGGGUGGGUGAGAUGGAAAGAAGGCAAGCCUGUGAGCCAAGCAGGUAAUGUGGAAGAGGUUUAUAGAAGGGAGAGAAGGAGCAGAAGGGUUGAGAUGAGUGUGCCAGUAUCCUUAGGAGCAGGGCAGUGAGCUGGACUAGAGUAAGCAGGAGAGGGUGGUGAAUGGAAACUCAAGUAGCAGGUCCUGUAGAGCCUUGCAAGCAUUCUCAGGAUGCUAGUCUUUCAACAGUCCUGAAACAGGAAUCCAUUGGGGGAUCUGAGCAGAGGAAUGUCCUAAAUUAAAAGGGUUGGGGAAAGACCCCAUGCAUUUAAUUCCAACACUCAAAGAGGUAGGAGCAGGCAGAGCUCUGAGCUCCAGGCCAGCAUAGUCAGAUCCUAACUCAAAAUAAAUACAAAAACAAAGGGUUGAGUGUGUAGCUCAAUAGUAGACUGCUUGCCUAGUAUGUAGAGGGCCCUAGGUCAACCCGCAGCCAUGAAAAUAAAAAAGACAAGAAUAGAAACAGGAGAUCUUAGCUGGAAAUAAUGGCAAAUGCCUUUAACCCCAGCACUUGAAAGGUAGGUAGAUCAGAGUUCAAAGCCAGCUAGUCUACAAAGUAAGUUCCAGGACAGCAAAAGCUACACAGCAAGACCCUGUCUAAAAAAAAAAAAAAAAAAAAAAAAAAAAAGAUUUCAAGGCUUCCAAAAAUAAUCUAGGGAAUGAAAUGCAUAAUGCAUGGUAAGUUUACAUCUGGAAAUAAUGAGAAAAAGUGAGAAAUAUUUAGGUUUUGGGUACUUCUAAAGAAUAUUGAAGUUGCCAGUGCUUUAGACUGAGCUGUGGUAUCUGAGAAGGGAGGAAUUAAGGAUACCAAAUGUUUGGCUUUAGGCACCUAUAGUUGCCAUUUAGUAAGAACUGUACCCCCUUGGUAGGAAAGGCCUUUUGUGUAAGCUGAAUGCCUGCUCAACAACCAAAAGAGAUGGAGAUCCCAGGGCAGGUCUGGAGGCUAGGAUGGGAAUGGAGUUUAAGCAAAUACUGCUGAAAUCUCUCUUCCCUGUAUUUUAGUUCUCACUUUGGCAGAUCUGAGGUCUAUCUGGAUUUAGAGAAAACUUAGUUGGCCAGGACUUUGCUAUUAUGUAAUCAGGACUACAAAUGUCAGCAACUAAAAAUAAAGUUAAGCAUGCCUGUCCUUGGCUUCAGGGACACACACACACACACACACACACACACACACACACACACACACACACACGAGCCUCUCUGUGGCCUGGUCUACAGAGUUGAGUUCCAGAAUUCCAGGAUGCCCCGGGCUUCACAGAGAAACUGUCUCAAAAUCCAAUGACAGAAAUUAAGAAACCAGCUAGAGAAAGACCAGUAAGAGGCUAGAGGUAAAGGACCUGUU
rnacentral:lncRNA from 1 species